GAUAAACGCUGGCGGCGUGCUUAACACAUGCAAGUCGAACGAAGUUUUUCCUUCGGGAGAAACUUAGUGGCGGACGGGUGAGUAACGCGUGGGUAACCUGCCCUGUACAGGGGGACAACAGCUGGAAACGGCUGCUAAUACCGCAUAAGCCCUUAGCACUGCAUGGUGCAUAGGGAAAAGGAGCAAUCCGGUACAGGAUGGACCCGCGUCUGAUUAGCCAGUUGGCAGGGUAACGGCCUACCAAAGCGACGAUCAGUAGCCGAUCUGAGAGGAUGUACGGCCACAUUGGGACUGAGACACGGCCCAGACUCCUACGGGAGGCAGCAGUGGGGAAUAUUGCACAAUGGAGGAAACUCUGAUGCAGCGACGCCGCGUGAGUGAAGAAGUAUUUCGGUAUGUAAAGCUCUAUCAGCAGGGAAGAAAAUGACGGUACCUGACGAAGAAGCACCGGCUAAAUACGUG
rnacentral:rRNA from 1 species